rnacentral:rRNA from 1 species
UACGUAGGGGGCAAGCGUUAUCCGGAUUUACUGGGUGUAAAGGGAGCGUAGACGGCCAGACAAGUCAGAAGUGAAAGCCCAGGGCUCAACCCUGGGACUGCUUUUGAAACUGCCGGGCUGGAGUGCAGGAGAGGUAAGCGGAAUUCCUAGUGUAGCGGUGAAAUGCGUAGAUAUUAGGAGGAACACCAGUGGCGAAGGCGGCUUACUGGACUGUAACUGACGUUGAGGCUCGAAAGCGUGGGGAGCAAACAGG